GGACGUAGGUCAGUGGGAGAGCACUUGCCUCACGCAUGAGGCCCUGGGUUCAGUCCCCAGCCCA
rnacentral:tRNA from 1 species